CCUACGGGUGGCAGCAGUGGGGGAUAUUGCACAAUGGAGGGAACUCUGAUGCAGCGACGCCGCGUGAGGGAAGAAGGUUUUCGGAUUGUAAACCUCUGUCUUCGGUGACGAAACGAGACGGUAGCCGAGGAGGAAGCCACGGCUAACUACGUGCCAGCAGCCGCGGUAAUACGUAGGUGGCAAGCGUGGUCCGGAAUUACUGGGUGAAAAGGGAGCGUAGGCGGGAAAGCAAGUUGAAUGUUUAAGGUAUGGGCUCAACCUGUACAAGCGUUCAAAACUGUUUUUCUUGAGUGGAGUAGAGGUAAGCGGAAUUCCUAGUGUAGCGGUGAAAUGCGUAAAUAUUAGGAGGAACACCAGUGGCGAAGGCGACUAUCUGGCACAUAACUGACGCUGAGGAGCGAAAGCGUGGGUAGCAAACAGGAUUAGAUACCCGAGUAGUC
rnacentral:rRNA from 1 species